UGGAAAGCGCCGUUCCUGACUCUAAUGUACUUAGACACUUGAAGCCACAAAAGGAUUUAUCCCCGAGGUUCCUCAUCUGCUCGCGAGGAUGCCUUUUCUCUUCUGCCUUGCGAAAUAACAGCAGCCUAGCUGUUGCCCGUGACCAGUGAGGAAGGCAGCGUCGCGGGCUGAUUACGUUUCACCCAAAGGGUGCCGGCGCCGAAUUGGUUUCUAACGAGAACUUUAAAAAUGAUCCGUUCCAAAAAAGGGUAGGAGCCGCGAGACCCUCCAACUGCCCAGAGAAAACAAGUCUCGUCUGGCAAAGUUCUCGGCCCACGCGGUCCGCGGCCAAGGGCCAACGGUCCCUCGCCCCACGUUGCCGCAGCACUGCGCGUGCGCGAGCCGCUGUCAAACGCGCUGACGGAGGCCGAGAAGAAAAAAAGGCGGGAGCCGUCAAUCCCGGGUUGAGCAAAAUGGCGCGGGAGAAGGAGAUGCAGGAGUUCACCCGUAGCUUCUUCCGAGGCCGCCCGGACCUCAGGUGCCCAGGGGGUUGGAGAUGGGGUUGGAAAGGGCGCGGGUGGGACGGGACUCCGUCCUGACACCAUGUCCCUGCAGCACGCUUACGCAUUCCAUCGUGCGGCGGAGGUACUUGGCUCACUCCGGCCGCAGCCACCUGGAGCCCGAGGAGAAGCAGGCACUGAAGCGGCUGGUGGAGGAGGAGCUGCUGAAGAUGCAGGUGUGCCGGGCCGGAGCCUGGGCCGCGGGAGGCGGAGGCGGGGCUUGCUGCUGAGGAGGAGGGGCCUGACGGGGCGCGGUGAGCGCAGCCUUGGUGCAUA
rnacentral:sRNA from 1 species